rnacentral:rRNA from 1 species
CUUGUUUGAUCCUGGCUCAGGACGAACGCUGGCGGCGUGCUUAACACAUGCAAGUCGAGCGGUAAGGCCUUUCGGGGUACACGAGCGGCGAACGGGUGAGUAACACGUGGGUGAUCUGCCCUGCACUUCGGGAUAAGCCUGGGAAACUGGGUCUAAUACCGGAUAUGACCUCCUAUCGCAUGGUGGGUGGUGGAAAGAUUUAUCGGUGCAGGAUGGGCCCGCGGCCUAUCAGCUUGUUGGUGGGGUAAUGGCCUACCAAGGCGACGACGGGUAGCCGGCCUGAGAGGGUGACCGGCCACACUGGGACUGAGACACGGCCCAGACUCCUACGGGAGGCAGCAGUGGGGAAUAUUGCACAAUGGGCGGAAGCCUGAUGCAGCGACGCCGCGUGAGGGAUGACGGCCUUCGGGUUGUAAACCUCUUUCAGUAGGGAAGAAGCGUAAGUGACGGUACCUGCAGAAGAAGCGCCGGCUAACUACGUGCCAGCAGCCGCGGUAAUACGUAGGGCGCAAGCGUUAUCCGGAAUUAUUGGGCGUAAAGAGCUCGUAGGCGGUUUGUCGCGUCUGCUGUGAAAGACCGGGGCUCAACUCCGGUUCUGCAGUGGGUACGGGCAGACUAGAGUGCAGUAGGGGAGACUGGAAUUCCUGGUGUAGCGGUGAAAUGCGCAGAUAUCAGGAGGAACACCGAUGGCGAAGGCAGGUCUCUGGGCUGUAACUGACGCUGAGGAGCGAAAGCAUGGGGAGCGAACAGGAUUAGAUACCCUGGUAGUCCAUGCCGUAAACGUUGGGCACUAGGUGUGGGGGACAUUCCACGUUUUCCGCGCCGUAGCUAACGCAUUAAGUGCCCCGCCUGGGGAGUACGGCCGCAAGGCUAAAACUCAAAGGAAUUGACGGGGGCCCGCACAAGCGGCGGAGCAUGCGGAUUAAUUCGAUGCAACGCGAAGAACCUUACCAAGGCUUGACAUGGACUGGAAAGAUCUGGAGACAGGUCCCCCGCUUGCGGUCGGUUCACAGGUGGUGCAUGGUUGUCGUCAGCUCGUGUCGUGAGAUGUUGGGUUAAGUCCCGCAACGAGCGCAACCCUCGUUCUAUGUUGCCAGCGCGUUAUGGCGGGGACUCAUAGGAGACUGCCGGGGUCAACUCGGAGGAAGGUGGGGACGACGUCAAAUCAUCAUGCCCCUUAUGUCUUGGGCUUCACGCAUGCUACAAUGGCCGGUACAAAGGGUUGCGAUACUGUGAGGUGGAGCUAAUCCCAAAAAGCCGGUCUCAGUUCGGAUUGGGGUCUGCAACUCGACCCCAUGAAGUCGGAGUCGCUAGUAAUCGCAGAUCAGCAACGCUGCGGUGAAUACGUUCCCGGGCCUUGUACACACCGCCCGUCAAGUCACGAAAGUUGGUAACACCCGAAGCCGGUGGCCUAACCCUUGUGGGGGGAGCCGUCGAAGGUGGGACCGGCGAUUGGGACUAAGUCGUAACAAGGUAAAGGGCGAAUUCCAGCACACU